AGAAGCUUCUAAAUAAGUAUUUCAUUUGUUUUUUGCAGAUGUCGAUCAUAGCAACCACAGUAUAUGGCUUUUGAGCAAAGUUCCUGAGUGACCAUUCCACGAGUGCCGUUUUUACGAAUUGUAAUCAUUCACCUGAUUCACACAUCGCCGUGCUAUUUAAUCUGCCGGGUCUAGCGAAUCUAUAACGAAUUUCGGUGAACCGAUUUGGUGAUUCAACUGACUACAGCUGUUCCGUGGAGUAUGUGUUUAUAUCAAACGACUCUAUGAAGAUUCAAAUGUCAUACGUGAUGUAAGGCGAUCGGCAGCUGGUAUUUACUACUUGA